rnacentral:tRNA from 1 species
UGUUCUGUGGCUUAGUUGGUGAAAGCGCCGGUCUAGCGAAUACGGAGUCGUGGGUUCGAAUCCCACCAGAAUGC